CCUUUUUCGGAAGGUAUGCUUAAAGAUGAGCUUGCGCCACAUUAGUUUGUUGGUGGGGUAAUGGCCUACCAAGACGAUGAUGUGUAGCUGGACUGAGAGGUCGAACAGCCACAUUGGGACUGAGACACGGCCCAAACUCCUACGGGAGGCAGCAGUAGGGAAUUUUCGGCAAUGGAGGAAACUCUGACCGAGCAACGCCGCGUGAACGAUGAAGUAUUUCGGUAUGUAAAGUUCUUUUAUUGAAGAAGAAAAAAUAGUGGAAAAACUAUCUUGACGUUAUUCAAUGAAUAAGCCCCGGCUAACUAUGUGCCAGCAGCCGCGGUAAGACAUAGGGGGCGAGCGUUAUCCGGAAUUAUUGGGCGUAAAGGGUGCGUAGGCGGUUAGGAAAGUCUAUAAUUUAAUUUCAGUGCUUAACGCUGUCUUGUUAUAGAAACUACCUUGACUAGAGUUAGAUAGAGGCAAGCGGAAUUCCAUGUGUAGCGGUAAAAUGUGUAAAUAUAUGGAGGAACACCAGAAGCGUAGGCGGCUUGCUGGGUCUUGACUGACGCUGAGGCACGAAAGCGUGGGUAGCAAACAGGAUUAGAUACCCUGGUAGUCCACGCCGUAAACGAUGAGUACUAAGUGUCGGGAUAAAACUCGGUACUGAAGUUAACACAUUAAGUACUCCGCCUGAGUAGUACGUACGCAAGUAUGAAACUUAAAGGAAUUGACGGGACUCCGCACAAGCGGUGGAUCAUGUUGUUUAAUUCGAAGAUACACGAAAAAUCUUACCAGGUCUUGACAUGCUCUGCAAAGCUAUAGAAAUAUAGUGGAGGUUAUCAGGGACACAGGUGGUGCAUGGUUGUCGUCAGUUCGUGUCGUGAGAUGUUAGGUUAAGUCCUAAAACGAGCGCAACCCUUGUCGUUAGUUACCAGCACGUAAUGGUGGGCACUUUAACGAGACUGCCAAUUAAACAUUGGAGGAAGGUGAGGAUUACGUCAAAUCAUCAUGCCCCUUAUGAUCUGGGCUACAAACGUGAUACAAUGGCUGUUACAAAGAGUAGCUGAAGCGCGAGUUUUUAGCCAAUCUCAAAAAAGCAGUCUCAGUUCGGAUUGAAGUCUGUAACUCGACUUCAUGAAGUUGGAAUCGCU
rnacentral:rRNA from 1 species